rnacentral:lncRNA from 1 species
GAGAUGCCCUAUUGUGAGUUCUUUUCCUAGUGAUACAUGCUUCCAUCCUAAAUGUUAUUAGUAGUAUGUUGGAGUGCAUCUUGCCCUCUACUGUCUCAUGCCUUGGUUGAGCAUAUUGGAUUUGUGUAGCUAGUUGUUCGAGGGGGUAGAAGAUGCUAUGUGGCUGAUUUUGGCAGAUUGUAGUGAAUUCUUGUUUAGCUCGUAGUUGUUGAACCGUUGCUCCGUUUUGAUCGUGUCCUGUAUGAAACUUGCUUAGAAUCUCGUGUAGUUUCAUAUUACCUUGCUAUUUGUAUGGCUUGGGAUGCUUGUGACUGUCGUUGCACACAUAUUGCAUUCAUGCCAUCAUAUCUUGCGUUGAUCACAUCUUUUGAACCGUAGCUCCGUUGAAGAUGUUCUCUAUGUGUAAAUUGAUUGUAACGACACGUAGAAUCACGCGAACCUAUUUAUUUUGCUGUUUAACAAACAUUUAAACAUGUUAGUUCAGAUCUGAACAGAUUUAUAAUUUAAUGCAUGAGGUCAUCUCGGAGAUGCUACAUGUCGUUUCCGGCCUCAUUUAAAAUGCCUAGAUAGGUAGAUUAAUUACGCUUCAACUCUUGCCAUGUUUAACCACAUUUAAUAUUGCCGUGUACCUAAUCGAGAGCGAACUAAAUAAUUCGUAUGUGGAGUUUCGUCAAUAUGCAACUCGUUGCAUAUUGAACUUCACUUAAUGUGUAGUGUUUGAU